rnacentral:rRNA from 1 species
UGGGGAAUAUUGGACAAUGGGCGUAAGCCUGAUCCAGCCAUGCCGCGUGUGUGAAGAAGGUCUUCGGAUUGUAAAGCACUUUAAGUUGGGAGGAAGGGCAGUAAGCGAAUACCUUGCUGUUUUGACGUUACCGGCAGAAUAAGCACCGGCUAACUCUGUGCCAGCAGCCGCGGUAAUACAGAGGGUGCAAGCGUUAAUCGGAAUUACUGGGCGUAAAGCGCGCGUAGGUGGUUCGUUAAGUUGAAUGUGAAAGCCCCGGGCUCAACCUGGGAACUGCAUCCAAAACUGGCGAGCUAGAGUAGGGCAGAGGGUGGUGGAAUUUCCUGUGUAGCGGUGAAAUGCGUAGAUAUAGGAAGGAACACCAGUGGCGAAGGCGACCACCUGGGCUCAUACUGACACUGAGGUGCGAAAGCGUGGGGAGCAAACAGG